rnacentral:misc_RNA from 1 species
AUCGUAACAAGGUCUCCGUAGGUGAACCUGCGGAGGGAUCAUUAAUGCGAGGACCGAUCUUUCGAGAACGGUAACCCCCAACCCCAUGUUAUCUGACCCUGUUGCCUCGGGGGCGACCCGGCCUUUUGGCUCCGGGGCCCCCGGUGGAAACCCAUCAAACACUGCAUCCAUGCGUCCGAGUAAAUAUCAAAUCAAUUAAAACUUUCAACAACGGAUCUCUUGGUUCUGGCAUCGAUGAAGAACGCAGCGAAAUGCGAUAAGUAAUGUGAAUUGCAGAAUUCAGUGAAUCAUCGAAUCUUUGAACGCACAUUGCGCCCCCUGGCAUUCCGGGGGGCAUGCCUGUUCGAGCGUCAUUACACCACUCAAGCCUAGCUUGGUAUUGGAGGCCGCGAGCGAUCGCGCCUCUUAAAGUCACCGGCUGAGCCGUCCGUCUCCAAGCGUUGUGGCAACUAUCCGCGAGCGAGACCCGGGCGACCCGGCCGUUAAACCCCCACUACAGGUUGACCUCGGAUCAGGUAGGGAUACCCGCUGAACUUAAGCAUAUCAUA